rnacentral:rRNA from 1 species
GACAGAGGGUGCAAGCGUUGCUCGGAUUUACUGGGCGUAAAGCGUACGCAGACGGCCACGCAGGUCGGGUGUGAAAGCCCCGGGCUCAACCCGGGAAUUGCAUUCGAAACCAUGUGGCUCGAGUGUGGGAGAGGGUAGUGGAAUUCCUGGUGUAGAGGUGAAAUUCGUAGAUAUCAGGAGGAACACCGGCGGCGAAGGCGGCUACCUGGUCCACAACUGACGUUCAGGUACGAAAGCGUGGGGAGCAAACAGG